rnacentral:rRNA from 1 species
CGGCGAGUGAAGCGGGAAUAGCUCAAAUUUGAAAGCUGGCAGCAAUGUCCGCGUUGUAAUCUCGAGAAGUGUUUUCCGUGCUGGACCAUAGAUAUGUUCCUUGGAAUAGGAUGUCAAAGAGGGUGAGAAUCCCGUACAUGCUAUGGACGCCCAGUGCUUUGUGAUACACUUUCGAAGAGUCGAGUUGUUUGGGAAUGCAGCUCAAAAUGGGUGGUAAAUUCCAUCUAAAGCUAAAUAUUGGGGAGAGACCGAUAGCAAACAAGUACCGUGAGGGAAAGAUGAAAAGCACUUUGGAAAGAGAGUUAAACAGUACGUGAAAUUGUCAAAAGGGAAGCGCUUCAAGUCAGAUAUGGCUUUAAAUGUUCAGCCUUUCGGUGUAUUCAUUUUUUGUCAGGCCAGCAUCGAUUUUGAACGUCGGAUAAGGGUAGAAGGAAUGUAGCAUACUUUCGGGUAUGUGUUAUAGCCUUUUACUGGAUACGACGAUCGGGAUCGAGGUUCGCAGCACACCCUUUUUGGGCAGGUCUUCGGACACUUUUGUGCUUAGGAUGCUGGCGUAAUGGCUUGAAGCGACCCGUCUUGAAACACGGACCAAGGAGUCUAACAUGUCUGCGAGUUUUUGGGUGGCAAACCCAUAAGCGCAAUGAAAGUGAAUGUAGGUGGGAUCCCUUUACGGGGUGCACCAUCGACCGAUCCAGAUCUUCUGUGACGGAUUUGAGUAAGAGCAUAUAUGUUGGGACCCGAAAGAUGGUGAACUAUGCCUGGACAGGGUGAAGCCAGAGGAAACUCUGGUGGAGGCUCGUAGACGUUCUGACGUGCAAAUCGAUGUUCAGAUCUGGGUAUAGGGGCGAAAGACUAAUCGAACCAUCUAGUAGCUGGUUCA